rnacentral:rRNA from 1 species
ACUGCGAAUGGCUCAUUAUAUAAGUUAUCGUUUAUUUGAUAAUACUUUACUACUUGGAUAACCGUGGUAAUUCUAGAGCUAAUACAUGCUGAAAAUCCCGACUUCGGAAGGGAUGUAUUUAUUAGAUUAAAAACCAAUGCCCCUCGGGGCUCUCUGGUGAAUCAUGAUAACUAGUCGAAUCGACAGGCCUUGUGCCGGCGAUGGCUCAUUCAAAUUUCUUCCCUAUCAACUUUCGAUGUUUGGGUAUUGGCCAAACAUGGUGGCAACGGGUAACGGAGGGUUAGGGCUCGACCCCGGAGAAGGAGCCUGAGAAACGGCUACUACAUCCAAGGAAGGCAGCAGGCGCGCAAAUUACCCAAUCCCGACACGGGGAGGUAGUGACAAUAAAUACUGAUACAGGGCUCUUUUGGGUCUUGUAAUCGGAAUGAGUACAAUUUAAAUCCCUUAACGAGGAACAAUUGGAGGGCAAGUCUGGUGCGC